rnacentral:tRNA from 1 species
GGAGUGGUAGUUCAGUUGGUUAGAAUACCGGCCUGUCACGCAGGGGGUCGCGGGUUCGAGUCCCGUCCACUCCGCCA